rnacentral:rRNA from 1 species
GGACGAACGCUGGCGGCGUGCCUAAUACAUGCAAGUCGAGCGAGGAGAUUUAUCUCCUAGCGGCGAACGGGUGAGUAACACGUGGGCAACCUGCCCGUAAGACUGGGAUAACUCCGGGAAACCGGGGCUAAUACCAGAUAAUCUCUUUCCKCGCAUGAGGAAAGAGUAAAAGAAUUUCACUUACGGAUGGGCCCGCGGUGCAUUAGCUUGUUGGUGGGGUAAYGGCCUACCAAGGCAACGAUGCAUAGCCGACCUGAGAGGGUGACCGGCCACACUGGGACUGAGACACGGCCCAGACUCCUACGGGAGGCAGCAGUAGGGAAUUUUCCGCAAUGGGCGAAAGCCUGACGGAGCAACGCCGCGUGAACGAUGACGGCCUUCGGGUUGUAAAGUUCUGUUCUAAGGGAAGAAGUUCUGACGGUACCUUAGGAGAAAGCCACGGCUAACUACGU